GGAUGAACGCUAGCUACAGGCUUAACACAUGCAAGUCGAGGGGAAACGACAUCGAAAGCUUGCUUUUGAUGGGCGUCGACCGGCGCACGGGUGAGUAACGCGUAUCCAACCUGCCCACCACUUGGGGAUAACCUUGCGAAAGUAAGACUAAUACCCAAUGAUAUCUCUAGAAGACAUCUGAAAGAGAUUAAAGAUUUAUCGGUGAUGGAUGGGGAUGCGUCUGAUUAGCUUGUUGGCGGGGUAACGGCCCACCAAGGCGACGAUCAGUAGGGGUUCUGAGAGGAAGGUCCCCCACAUUGGAACUGAGACACGGUCCAAACUCCUACGGGAGGCAGCAGUGAGGAAUAUUGGUCAAUGGGCGAGAGCCUGAACCAGCCAAGUAGCGUGCAGGAUGACGGCCCUAUGGGUUGUAAACUGCUUUUAUAAGGGAAUAAAGUGAGUCUCGUGAGACUUUUUGCAUGUACCUUAUGAAUAAGGACCGGCUAAUUCCGUGCCAGCAGCCGCGGUAAUACGGAAGGUCCGGGCGUUAUCCGGAUUUAUUGGGUUUAAAGGGAGCGUAGGCCGGAGAUUAAGCGUGUUGUGAAAUGUAGAUGCUCAACAUCUGAACUGCAGCGCGAACUGGUUUCCUUGAGUACGCACAAAGUGGGCGGAAUUCGUGGUGUAGCGGUGAAAUGCUUAGAUAUCACGAAGAACUCCGAUUGCGAAGGCAGCUCACUGGAGCGCAACUGACGCUGAAGCUCGAAAGUGCGGGUAUCGAACAGGAUUAGAUACCCUGGUAGUCCGCACGGUAAACGAUGGAUGCCCGCUGUUGGUCUGAAUAGGUCAGCGGCCAAGCGAAAGCAUUAAGCAUCCCACCUGGGGAGUACGCCGGCAACGGUG
rnacentral:rRNA from 1 species